UCUGCCUCCCCCGCCCCCACCCCAGACACCAUCACAGACACACACAGUCUCAAAGCCCCAGCACUUUUCCCUUUGCCCAGAACACAAUAAAGGAAUUAGGACCCACCUACAACGUUUCUGCAGCUGACACUUCAAGACUCAAAGUCUAGCUGGCCAGCCAGCUCAGUCACACAUGUCUGAUGUGUCCUCUUUGCAGCCAGGCCCCAAUCAAGCCACUGUGCAAUUCUGAUAAUUCAAACUGCUUUCCCGUUUAGGGAGACUGAUAGCCAUCUCCCAUCUCCUUUUCCUGCUGACGUCAUCCCACAUUUUCUACAGACACAAAUAAGGGUACAGCUCCUGGGAUAGUUUCAGGCUGCCUAAGGUGGGAGUGGAGGGAUCCUGCCCUCCAAGGUCCUAGGUUAAGGAAAAGGCAAAGAAAUAAAUCACCUAGCUAAGGUUAAAGGCCAAAGAGAACUUGGCGACUGCAACUCAAGCCUAGAUCUGUCCUGGACAUUUGCAAUGCAAAUGUGCGUUUUGUUCCCUGCUACAGAAGUCUUGCACAAUAGCCUGUGUAUAAACAUCCAUGCCAACAAUGCCUGACUGUGCAAUCGCGCUGUAAUUACAGGCCGGCAGGAAGCUGCUGCUAGGAACCGCACCAUUCAACUUCUAGCCUUCCCGCGUCGGAGUCUCCACCGCACUGACUGAACAUUCCUGCACACCCAACGUGUCCCCGCAGCUGCCCGGCCGCUGUUGGUACAGUUGCAGUCUCCCAGCCCGGGGGCCACCUGCCCGGCCCACCUACCCCGGGUUACUUUGCAGGGUUGUCAUAAACUCAGCUGUUCUUUAAAAAAAAUCCUGCGCCACGAGGCUACCAAGAGCAGCCGGAAUCACCAUCCAAGUUCCCCAGCACAUUCCUGCAGCCCCAGCAGUUUCAGAAAACAGAAAAGAGCGAUAUGCCACAGAGUCCAUCGGAAGCAGGGUGGACUUUGCUGGAGUACCACAAAGUGUGGAAGCUGUCUUCAAGGGAUCCUUGAAGACGGCCCCCUGCU
rnacentral:lncRNA from 1 species